ACGAACGCUGGCGGCGUGCUUAACACAUGCAAGUCGAGCGGUAAGGCCCUUUCGGGGGUACACGAGCGGCGAACGGGUGAGUAACACGUGGGUGACCUGCCCUCAGCUCUGGGAUAAGCCUGGGAAACCGGGUCUAAUACUGGAUAUGACUCCAUGACGCAUGUUGUGGGGUGGAAAGCCUUGUGCGGCUGAGGAUGGGCCCGCGGCCUAUCAGCUUGUUGGUGGGGUGAUGGCCUACCAAGGCGACGACGGGUAGCCGGCCUGAGAGGGCGACCGGCCACACUGGGACUGAGACACGGCCCAGACUCCUACGGGAGGCAGCAGUGGGGAAUCUUGCGCAAUGGGCGAAAGCCUGACGCAGCGACGCCGCGUGAGGGAUGACGGCCUGGUGU
rnacentral:rRNA from 1 species